rnacentral:tRNA from 1 species
CGCCGCAUAGCACAACGGUAGAGCAACAGCCUUUGACGCUGGAGGUUGGGGGUUCAAGUCCCUCUGCGGCUGCCA